AGAGUUUGAUCAUGGCUCAGAACGAACGCUGGCGGCAGGCCUAACACAUGCAAGUCGAGCGGACCCUUCGGGGUUAGCGGCGGACGGGUGAGUAACGCGUGGGAACAUACCCUUUGGUACGGAAUAGCCUCGGGAAACUGGGAGUAAUACCGUAUGUGCCCUUCGGGGGAAAGAUUUAUCGCCAAAGGAUUGGCCCGCGUUGGAUUAGGUAGUUGGUGGGGUAAUGGCCUACCAAGCCGACGAUCCAUAGCUGGUUUGAGAGGAUGAUCAGCCACACUGGGACUGAGACACGGCCCAGACUCCUACGGGAGGCAGUAGUGGGGAAUCUUAGACAAUGGGCGCAAGCCUGAUCUAGCCAUGCCGCGUGAGCGAUGAAGGCCUUAGGGUUGUAAAGCUCUUUCAGUGGGGAAGAUAAUGACGGUACCCACAGAAGAAGCCCCGGCUAACUCCGUGCCAGCAGCCGCGGUAAUACGGAGGGGGCUAGCGUUGUUCGGAAUUACUGGGCGUAAAGCGCACGUAGGCGGACUGGAAAGUUGGAGGUGAAAUCCCAGGGCUCAACCUUGGAACUGCCUUCAAAACUCCCAGUCUUGAGGUCGAGAGAGGUAAGUGGAAUUCCGAGUGUAGAGGUGAAAUUCGUA
rnacentral:rRNA from 1 species